rnacentral:tRNA from 1 species
GCCUUCGUGGUGUAGUGUCAACACACUCGGCGAGUAACCCAGAGGUCCGUGGUUCGAUUCCCGGCAAAGGUG